rnacentral:rRNA from 1 species
AGAGUUUGAUCCUGGCUCAGAACGAACGCUGGCGGCAUGCCUAACACAUGCAAGUCGAACGAGACCUUCGGGUCUAGUGGCGCACGGGUGCGUAACGCGUGGGAAUCCGCCCUUAGGUUCGGAAUAACAGUUAGAAAUGACUGCUAAUACCGGAUAAUGACGUAAGUCCAAAGAUUCAUCGCCUAGGGAUGAGCCCGCGUAGGAUUAGCUAGUUGGUGGGGUAAAAGCCUACCAAGGCGACGAUCCUUAGCUGGUCUGAGAGGAUGAUCAGCCACACUGGGACUGAGACACGGCCCAGACUCCUACGGGAGGCAGCAGUGGGGAAUAUUGGACAAUGGGCGAAAGCCUGAUCCAGCAAUGCCGCGUGAGUGAUGAAGGCCUUAGGGUUGUAAAGCUCUUUUACCCGGGAUGAUAAUGACAGUACCGGGAGAAUAAGCUCCGGCUAACUCCGUGCCAGCAGCCGCGGUAAUACGGAGGGAGCUAGCGUUGUUCGGAAUUACUGGGCGUAAAGCGCACGUAGGCGGCUUUGUAAGUUAGAGGUGAAAGCCCGGGGCUCAACUCCGGAACUGCCUUUAAGACUGGAUCGCUUGAAUCCAGGAGAGGUGAGUGGAAUUCCGAGUGUAGAGGUGAAAUUCGUAGAUAUUCGGAAGAACACCAGUGGCGAAGGCGGCUCACUGGACUGGUAUUGACGCUGAGGUGCGAAAGCGUGUGGAGCAAACAGGAUUAGAUACCCUGGUAGUCC